rnacentral:rRNA from 1 species
UGGGGAAUAUUGCACAAUGGGCGCAAGCCUGAUGCAGCCAUGCCGCGUGUAUGAAGAAGGCCUUCGGGUUGUAAAGUACUUUCAGCGGGGAGGAAGGGAGUAAAGUUAAUACCUUUGCUCAUUGACGUUACCCGCAGAAGAAGCACCGGCUAACUCCGUGCCAGCAGCCGCGGUAAUACGGAGGGUGCAAGCGUUAAUCGGAAUUACUGGGCGUAACGCGCACGCAGGCGGUUUGUUAAGUCAGAUGUGAAAUCCCCGGGCUCAACCUGGGAACUGCAUCUGAUACUGGCAAGCUUGAGUCUCGUAGAGGGGGGUAGAAUUCCAGGUGUAGCGGUGAAAUGCGUAGAGAUCUGGAGGAAUACCGGUGGCGAAGGCAGCCCCCUGGACGAAGACUGACGCUAAGGUGCGAAAGCGUGGGGAGCAAACAGG